GGGCCCGUGGCAUAGCCAGGAUAAAGCACCGGCCUUCUAAGCCGGGGAUCGCGGGUUCGAAUCCCGCCGGGUCCG
rnacentral:tRNA from 2 species